rnacentral:rRNA from 1 species
AUGGAGAGCUACCUCAACGAGAACUUCGGGGGCGUCAAGCCCAAGCACUCGUCCCACGAGGCGCUGGGCCGAUGGCGCAAGGUCGUCGGCGUCGUCAAGAACCCCAAGCGCCGCUUCCGCUUCACCGCCAACCUCGGCAAGCGCUCCGAGGCCGCCGCCAUGAAGCGGACCAACCAGGAGAAGCUGCGUGUUGCUGUGCUUGUUUCAAAGGCUGCGCUUCAGUUCAUCCAUGGCCUCGCUCCCCAGAGCGAGUACACAGUCCCUGCUGCUGUCAAGGCAGCAGGCUAUGGCAUCUGUGCUGAGGAACUGAGCUCUGUUGUCGAGAGCCACGACAUCAAGAAGUUGAAAGCACAUGGCGGCACUGAGGGCCUCUUAUCAAAGGUGUCUACCUCAGAGUCGGAUGGCGUCAGCACAUCCAAGGACAAGCUUGCAUCCCGGCAGGAGAUCUUUGGCAUCAACAAAUUCGCCGAGACGGAGGCCCGCAGCUUCUGGGUCUUUGUCUGGGAGGCGCUCCAGGACAUGACACUCAUGAUCCUUGCUGCAUGUGCCUUCUUCUCGCUUGUCGUCGGCAUUGCCACCGAGGGGUGGCCCAAGGGCGCGCAUGAUGGCCUCGGCAUCGUGGCUAGUAUUCUUCUGGUUGUGUUUGUCACUGCGACAAGCGACUACCGGCAAUCCCUGCAGUUCAAGGACCUUGACAAGGAGAAGAAGAAGAUCACGGUGCAGGUCACCCGGAGUGGGUACCGGCAGAAGCUCUCGAUAUACGAGCUUCUCGUUGGUGACAUUGUGCACCUUUCCAUUGGUGAUCAAGUACCAGCUGACGGUUUGUUCGUAUCAGGAUUCUCAUUGCUGAUUAAUGAAUCAAGCCUGACUGGGGAGAGUGAACCAGUUGCUGUCAAUGCCGAGAACCCAUUCCUUUUGUCAGGAACUAAAGUGCAGGAUGGUUCUUGCAAGAUGCUUGUGACAACAGUCGGCAUGAGGACUCAAUGGGGUAAACUCAUGGCCACCCUCAGUGAAGGAGGGGAUGAUGAGACGCCAUUGCAGGUCAAGCUGAACGGCGUUGCAACCAUCAUUGGCAAAAUAGGCCUCGUCUUUGCUGUUGUCACAUUUGCAGUGCUCACUGAAAGCCUGUUCCGACGCAAGAUCAUGGAUGGCUCGUACUUGAGUUGGAGUGGAGAUGAUGCACUGGAGCUGCUUGAGUUCUUUGCUAUUGCUGUUACCAUUGUUGUCGUAGCAGUUCCUGAAGGCUUACCGCUCGCCGUGACCUUGAGCCUUGCUUUUGCCAUGAAGAAGAUGAUGAAUGACAAGGCACUUGUCCGACACCUGGCAGCCUGUGAGACCAUGGGCUCAGCAACCUCCAUUUGCAGCGACAAGACUGGCACACUCACAACGAAUCACAUGACUGUCGUCAAGGCUUGCAUCUGUGGCAAAAUUAAAGAAGUGGAUAAAUCUUCAAACACCAAGAGCUUAUUCUCUGAGCUACCGGAUUCUGUCAUGACAAUGCUCUCGCAGUCCAUAUUUAACAACACUGGUGGCGAUGUUGUCAUCAACCAGGAUGGCAAACGCGAAAUACUGGGCACACCAACAGAGACAGCAAUUCUAGAGCUUGGCCUGUCACUCGGUGGAGAUUUCCAGGCAGUGCGAAAAGCAACCACCCUCCUCAAAGUCGAGCCAUUUAACUCAGCGAAGAAGAGAAUGGGAGUGGUCAUCCAGCUGCCAGGGGGCGCAUUCCGUGCUCACUGCAAAGGUGCAUCAGAGAUCAUAUUGGCAUCUUGCAGCAAGUACCUGAAUGAUCAAGGCAAUGCCGUCCCCCUUGACAGUGCAACUAUUGCUCACUUGAAUGCCACGAUCGAGAGCUUUGCAAAUGAGGCACUUCGCACUCUGUGCCUUGCUUACAUUGAAGUUGCACAAGGGUUCUCAGCUAAUGAUGCGAUUCCUGAAGAGGGGUACACAUGCAUUGGCAUUGUUGGGAUUAAAGACCCAGUGCGCCCGGGUGUGAAGGAAUCCGUCGCCAUCUGCAGGUCAGCCGGUAUUACUGUCAGGAUGGUCACAGGCGACAACAUUAACACAGCAAAGGCAAUUGCCCGGGAAUGUGGCAUUCUGACUGAAGGUGGUCUUGCCAUUGAAGGCCCAGAUUUUAGAACUAAGAGUGCAGAAGAAAUGUUCAAAUUGAUACCAAAGAUACAGGUAAUGGCUAGGUCUUCACCACUUGACAAGCACACCUUAGUGAAGAAUCUCCGGACUACACAUGAAGAAGUUGUUGCGGUGACUGGUGACGGGACAAAUGAUGCACCUGCACUUCAUGAGGCUGAUAUUGGACUUGCGAUGGGCAUUGCUGGAACUGAGGUUGCGAAAGAGAGUGCCGAUGUCAUCAUUCUUGAUGACAACUUCUCCACCAUAGUCACAGUUGCCAAAUGGGGUCGAUCUGUGUACAUCAACAUUCAGAAGUUUGUGCAGUUUCAACUGACAGUCAACGUGGUUGCCCUCGUUGUGAACUUCUCGUCAGCCUGCUUGACAGGGAGUGCUCCCCUCACUGCUGUUCAGUUGCUGUGGGUCAAUAUGAUCAUGGACACACUCGGAGCAUUGGCAUUGGCCACAGAACCUCCAAACGAUGAACUGAUGAAGAGGACUCCCGUUGGAAGGAAAGGAAACUUCAUUAGCAACAUUAUGUGGAGGAACAUCAUGGGACAGGCAAUCUACCAGUUCUUUGUAAUUUGGUAUCUGCAGACCGAAGGAAAGACGUUGUUUGAACUUAAGGGUGAUAAUUCCGAUCUAGUCCUGAACACGCUCAUCUUCAAUUGCUUUGUGUUCUGCCAGGUGUUCAACGAGGUGAGCUCCAGAGAGAUGGAGAGGAUAAAUGUAUUCAAAGGCAUUCUAGACAACAACGUGUUUGUCGCGGUGCUCGGCAGCACGGUCGUAUUCCAGAUCAUCAUAGUACAGUUCCUUGGCGACUUUGCGAACACCACCCCUCUGUCGCUCAGGGAGUGGUUCUCCUGCAUUGUCAUCGGCUUCAUAGGCAUGCCCAUCGCCGCGAUAGUCAAGCUCUUCCCGGUGGGUUCUCAGUAG